rnacentral:rRNA from 1 species
AUUGAACGCUGGCGGCAGGCCUAACACAUGCAAGUCGAGCGAGCGGCGGGCGGGAGAGUAAUGUAGGGGGAUCUGCGUGAUGGAGGGGGAUAAAUACUGGAAGCGGUAGCUAAUACCGCAUACUCGCAGAUGACCCCAUAUGGGAUUAGCUUGUAGGUGAGGUAAGGGCUCACCUGGGCGACGAUCCCUAGCUGGUCUGAGAGGAUGAUCAGCCACACUGGGACUGAGACACGGCCCAGACUCCUACGGGAGGCAGCAGGGGGGAAUAUUGCACAAUGGGCGCAAGCCUGAUGCAGCCAUGCCGCGUGUAUGAAGAAGGCCUUCGGGUUGUAAAGUACUUUCAGUCGGGAGGCGUUACUGACAGAAGAAGCACCGGCUAACUCCGUGCCAGCAGCCGCGGUAAUUC